rnacentral:lncRNA from 1 species
AUCUCAAAAAAAUUGUGCCUGUUCUUUCCUCUGGAGACGGGUAGAGCAGCCUCACAGGGUACGGCCAGGAGGGAGGCACCCCGUGGAAGAGGCAUCUCAGGCACGGUCUCGGGAAGGAUCGUGGUUGUGCCAGAAGGAUUGUUUCCUCCAGCCUACUCCUGAACCUGGAAACCAGCAGCUGCUCUCUCAAUCAAGGAGAAAGAAAGUAGAGGCCGCACCUUCCUUACGUGGUGCUCAUGGAUUCAGGGAAGAAACCCAAAUCAUGACAUGAAGAUGAAGAAACAGGCACAGUGAUGGCAGGUGACUUGUUCAAAGAGCUAGACCAGCUCAAGGCCUACGUUCUUUACCACUGAGGCCUGUGUGUCUCUUAGAGUAAGAUACAAUCCCACCCUCCAAGGAGCCCCUCUGGAAACUUCCCAGCACCUUUUCCUAAAAGCUUUGAUCCUGGCCAGAAGACCUCAGCUUUCGUCUUUUCGUCUAUAAAAUAUGAACUCUAAUACUCUCAGCUUCUUAGAACUGUUGAGUCUGCUGCACCUUGCUGGAGGUCCACUCCAGGCCCUGUUUGCGUGGGUAUCACCAGCGGAGGCUGCAGAACAGAAAGAUUGCUGCCUGGCCCUUCCUCUGGAAGCUUCAUCCCAGAGGGGCACUAGCCUGAUGCCAACCAGAGCUCUCCUGUAUGAGGU